UCAGAUUCCAUGCGGCCGCUGGGUCUCUCCUUAUGAUUUCAUCAUGUGUUCCAUUGACAAUGAACUAUUCACCAGUAUAUUCGUUCCAACAGUCUUGCGACACACAACGACGACGAUAUGCUUCUACCAUUCGAAGUAGUG
rnacentral:ribozyme from 1 species